AGAUGGGUAGUUUAAUAAAAACCUUUGAUUUCGGCUCAAAAAAUUGUGGUUAAAAUCCAUCCCCUUCUG
rnacentral:tRNA from 1 species